rnacentral:sRNA from 1 species
AUGUCGUCACCCGCCGGUUCCGCUGCACCGCCCGUAUCCACCUGACGACCACUGGCGACGUUGUGUCGGUU